AGACAUGUGGAGUCCCAGCAGAGGCCAACCUGUGUCUCUUCAUCUCCGUGAGAAAGGUGCCCCCGAAGUGAAAGAGAUGGCCUGGUGGAAAGCCUGGGCCACUGCAUCUCUGUCCCUGUAGCGAAGAGAAGAUACUGAUUCCUAAGCUCCUACUCUGAGAACACAAAUAUCUGCAAUACCUCGGUAAGCCCUAGGCCUGAGUGUGAGGUUGCAGGCACUUCCAUGGCCCCAUGCAGGUGUCCAAGUUCCCUCGUGGUAUUUGGCCAAGGGGGGCCCUGUGUGAUGCCCUAGCGCGGUGACUACCCGUGUUCCUGGCCCAUGGGCAUCUUCCAC
rnacentral:lncRNA from 1 species